UACGAAGGGGGCUAGCGUUGCUCGGAAUUACUGGGCGUAAAGCGCACGUAGGCGGCUUGUUACGUCGGGGGUGAAAUCCUGGAGCUCAACUCCAGAACUGCCUUCGAUACUGGCGAUCUCGAGUCCGGGAGAGGUGAGUGGAACUGCGAGUGUAGAGGUGAAAUUCGUAGAUAUUCGCAAGAACACCAGUGGCGAAGGCGGCUCACUGGCCCGGUACUGACGCUGAGGUGCGAAAGCGUGGGGAGCAAACAGG
rnacentral:rRNA from 1 species